CUACGUCGGGGUGCUGGGUUGGGUAGAAGCACUCUGAAUUGUUAUGCUUAGAGAAAGGAGUGGGAGCCACUCAAAGGUUCUGCACUCCGAGGCCACAGGGAUGUUAGAAAGAAAGAACUGGUAGUUUUGUUUGUUUUUGCUCGUGCAAAGUCCGAGCUGAGGAAGCCCUUUUGGGGGUGGAACACAUGCGCAAAGUGGGAUUAGCUGUACUUGAUUAUAAGUAAAUGAGGGGCAACGGGCAAAGAAAACCAUGCACGGGCCCAGCACCCACCCCUCCCACCCAGCUUUCGCUCCUAACGCCUCCUCACUUUCCCCCCCUGAGGUCCUGUGCUCCCGGGCCCGGGGACCUUUUGGGGCUUCACCUGGCGUGGCGCCCAAUCCUCGGGCCUGUGCACUAACUCCCGCGGGCCCGGCUGCGAGCGCGGCAGUGCCAGGGGCUCGAAGUCUGUCUGCAGAGACGUGGGCGCCUCCCUCGACCAGCUCCAGGCCACGGCCACAAGCCCCCGAACUCCAGGGAUCGCCGCCACCUCCACAUCUGCAGGCUGCUGAACAGUCGGCGCAGACCUGAAGCCGGGCUGGAAGUCGGCGGUCUCAUAGCGGCCUGCGCUCCACGUGGUGCACCAUACACUCGUUUUGCCUCCUUUGGGACGUCUUGAGUCGCCCGGGUGCAGCGCGGCAGACGCAGCAGACCGCCCCACGGGCAGCCCAGCGGCGCGCCAGGCCCCUGCGUUUGCGCACCCUGGCAUCAGAAACCCUCAGACGCAAGCCCGCCAGCGAAACCCGAAACUUCCUUUUGUGCAACAGGUGGGGUCACGGGCGAUGGCCGUCAGGAAACCAGUUAGGGGGU
rnacentral:lncRNA from 1 species